rnacentral:lncRNA from 1 species
GCAGCUGCACCAUUUUGCAUUUCUACCAGCAAUGCAUGAGGGUUCCAUUUUAUCUGCGUCACUCUCAACACUUUGUGAAUGGCCAUCCAUAUUCUUCAGAGAAAUGUUUAUUCAAGACUGCUUCUCAGUUUUAAAUCAGGAAAUGACAUACCUCCAUCUAUUGUCCUGAAGAGCAGUCAGUGUUUUGAAUCUCUAUGAGGGUUGGCUUCUUCACCUGCUAGGGAUAUGGCUAUCAGCAAGAGUUCAUCAGAAGGUGUUUGUAGCUUGGCUCCUUCUGAAGAUCCCAAGGGCAUAAUAACUAUUGCUACAUUAUAUAAUUGCCAACUACCUGCCAGAAGAUUUUUGCUCAUUUAUUGAUGUUGCUCAAAGCCAUGCAGUCAGUAAGUGCUGAAGGUAAGAUCUGAU